rnacentral:misc_RNA from 1 species
GAUGAAGAACGCAGCGAAAUGCGAUACGUAAUGUGAAUUGCAGAAUUCAGUGAAUCAUCGAAUCUUUGAACGCAUAUUGCGCUCUUUGGUAUUCCGAAGAGCAUGCUUGUUUGAGUAUCAGUAAACACCUCAAAGCUUUUGGAUUUUUUAAUCGAAAAGCUUUGGACUUGAGCAAUCCCAACACCAAUCUUUUUGAGAUCGGUGGCGGGUUGCUUGAAAUGCAGGUGCAGCUGGACAUUCUCCUGAGCUGAAAGCAUAUUCAUUUAGUCCCGUCAAACGGAUUAUUACUUUUGCUGCAGCUAACAUAAAGGGAGUUUGACCGUAUUGGCUGACUGAUGCAGGAUUUCACAAGGGUCGGCAACGAUUCUUGUUAAACUCGAUCUCAAAUCAAGUAAGACUACCCGCUGAACUUAAGCAUAUCAAUAAGCGGAGGA